rnacentral:misc_RNA from 1 species
GUAUGGAACACAAGUGAUAGGAUGAACCAGACCUUGACGUAGCACUAUCUCCACAAUCUGCAGUAAGUGUAGCAACAAAUAUAAAACUCAAGACAUAACUAAAAUUCUGAGAGAACAAUGUGCUUUCUAACAAGUGCACAAGAGCAAUCAGACGAAGAAAUUUUUGAUCUAGUACCUAUACUGGAACAUCAGUUAAAAAUUGCUGGAAAAAAAUAUUUCCAUGUUCAAAGUGAUAAUUAUUCAACUGUUAUUUGUGCUCAUAACUUUCAUUUUCCAAAUUUCCCAAGGCCAUACAUGAAAUGUUAAUUGCUUUGCCUUUCUCCUCUGAAGUAAGCUGUGGCCAGGUUUGCAUUGAGAGACCAGGACAAGAAAACAGAAUGUAGGUUCAUACCUUAAGUGCAGUCUGGCGAACUUG